rnacentral:miRNA from 1 species
GUGACUUGGAAGUGAGUCCAGGCACAGCGUGUCUUGGCUUGGCACUGCGAGCACCACUGCCAGAGC